GACGAACGCUGGCGGCGUGCUUAACACAUGCAAGUCGAACGGAAAGGCCCUGCUUUUGUGGGGUGCUCGAGUGGCGAACGGGUGAGUAACACGUGAGUAACCUGCCCUUGACUUUGGGAUAACUUCAGGAAACUGGGGCUAAUACCGGAUAGGAGCUCCUGCUGCAUGGUGGGGGUUGGAAAGUUUCGGCGGUUGGGGAUGGACUCGCGGCUUAUCAGCUUGUUGGUGGGGUAGUGGCUUACCAAGGCUUCGACGGGUAGCCGGCCUGAGAGGGUGACCGGCCACAUUGGGACUGAGAUACGGCCCAGACUCCUACGGGAGGCAGCAGUGGGGGAUAUUGCACAAUGGGCGGAAGCCUGAUGCAGCAACGCCGCGUGCGGGAUGACGGCCUUCGGGUUGUAAACCGCUUUCGCCUGUGACGAAGCGUGAGUGACGGUAAUGGGUAAAGAAGCACCGGCUAACUACGUG
rnacentral:rRNA from 1 species